UACGGAGGGUGCAAGCGUUAUCCGGAUUCACUGGGUUUAAAGGGUGCGUAGGUGGAAUGGUAAGUCAGUGGUGAAAUCUCCAAGCUUAACUUGGAACUGCCGUUGAUACUAUCAUUCUUGAAUAUCGUGGAGGUAAGCGGAAUCUGUCAUGUAGCGGUGAAAUGCUUAGAUAUGACAUAGAACACCGAUUGCGAAGGCAGCUUGCUACACGAUCAUUGACACUGAGGCACGAAAGCGUGGGGAUCAAACAGG
rnacentral:rRNA from 1 species